rnacentral:rRNA from 1 species
CCUACGGGAGGCAGCAGUGGGGAAUAUUGCACAAUGGGGGGAACCCUGAUGCAGCAACGCCGCGUGGGUGAAGAAGUACUCCGGUAUGUAAAGCCCUGUCAGCCGGGAAGAAAAUGCCGGUACCUGACCAAGAAGCCCCGGCUAACUACGUGCCAGCAGCCGCGGUAAUACGGAGGAUGCGAGCGUUAUCCGGAUUUAUUGGGUUUAAAGGGUGCGUAGGCGGAUCGUUAAGUCAGUGGUAAAAUUGAGGGGCUCAACCCCUUCCCGCCAUUGAAACUGGCGUUCUUGAGUGGAAGAGAAGUAUGCGGAAUGCGUGGUGUAGCGGUGAAAUGCAUAGAUAUCACGCAGAACCCCGAUUGCGAAGGCAGCAUGCCGGCUUCCGACUGACGCUGAAGCACGAAAGCGUGGGGAUCGAACAGGAUUAGAUACCCCUGUAGUC